CCUAGCUGCCUCCCCUCCAGGCUGCAGGGCCUCGGGCAGGCAAACCCGGGGUUCUCCAGCAGAGUGGCACAACAGCUCUGCCACACUGCAGAGCCGUGACCUGUGACACAGGAGCCUGGGACGGAGGUGCUGGUACAUCUGAGGAAUGUGCAGAAUCUGAAUGGGUCAUCAAAAGGUCCGGGCCUUGGGAUCGAUUGUGUCCUGUGCCCCAAAUACAA
rnacentral:lncRNA from 1 species